ensembl:rRNA 5S_rRNA 5S ribosomal RNA
GUCUUUGGCCAUGCUGCCCUGAACAAGCCCAAUCCUGUCUGAUCUCAGUAGCUAAAGCAGGGUCAGGCCUGUUUAGUACUUGGAUGGGAGACCAUCGUCCAAACACCUGGUUUUACAGGUGCUGUAGGCA